rnacentral:rRNA from 1 species
GCAGUCGCCGCGGUAAUACGUAGGUGGCAAGCGUUGUCCGGAAUUAUUGGGCGUAAAGGGCUCGCAGGCGGUUUCUUAAGUCUGAUGUGAAAGCCCCCGGCUCAACCGGGGAGGGUCAUUGGAAACUGGGAAACCUGAGUGCAGAAGAGGAGAGUGGAAUUCCACGUGUAGCGGUGAAAUGCGUAGAGAUGUGGAGGAACACCAGUGGCGAAGGCGACUCUCUGGUCUGUAACUGACGCUGAGGAGCGAAAGCGUGGGGAGCGAACAGGAUUAGAUACCCCCGUAGUCCCUGUCUCUUAUAU